UACAGAGGGGGCAAGCGUUGUUCGGAAUUACUGGGCGUAAAGGGCGCGUAGGCGGCCUUCUAAGUCGAACGUGAAAUCCCCGGGCUCAACCCGGGAACUGCGUCCGAUACUGGAAGGCUUGAAUCCGGGAGAGGGAUGUGGAAUUCCAGGUGUAGCGGUGAAAUGCGUAGAUAUCUGGAGGAACACCGGUGGCGAAGGCGACAUCCUGGACCGGUAUUGACGCUGAGGCGCGAAAGCCAGGGAGCAACGGGAUAGAGACCCU
rnacentral:rRNA from 1 species